CGUGUGAACCCCGUGCCCAGACUAUCCAUUGAUGUCCUUGUGCACCAUUUGAUUUGGCCACGCACUGGUGUAGGGACCACGCCCAUUUUCAAACCUUCCGCUUUAUGGGUGUUGGUCCCCUUCCGGCCAUGCGUGUCCUUCCGUCGAUGCGUAGCAAUCCCCAUUCAUGGCCCUAUAGGCUAUAGUUUGCUCCGGCUCUCUCUCUCCAUUUUCACCCCCACCUGUCUUGGCCAAGGCAAAAAUCCUCUCCCACCUGUCUUGGCCAUGGCGGAAAACCCUCUCCCAUGUCUAAGAAAUGCGAUUCUCAAUAACCUUCCAAAUAACCAAAAGAGAAUGCAAACAGUGUAGUUGAAGAGGAUACGUUCAUCGUAGAUGAAGAUAAUGAGAAUCGCAUUUAUCAGAUAUGGCACAAUACUCUGAUUUUCUAUAUCCUUGAAGCUAAGCGCAACCGGAAAGAAGCAGUUAUUGAAGCUCUCCGGCAGCGUGGAGUCGAGGAAUUUCUGUUCGACGCUAAAAGAAGCGUGAACAGAAGAAGAGAUACCAUUGGUCAAGACACAUGUAGAAAUGGGAAACAAGUGGGUUGAGAUCGUAAAGAGGAUCCCAGCAAGAACUGCAAAUUCAAUCAAGAACCAGUGAACUCGACCAAACGUAGGCAGCAGUCAUGGUGGGACUGUCAGAAGGCUAGUGUGGACAGAAACAAUGGGCAUCCAAGUUCUGUGCUAGAAACUACAACAGGAGUACUUGUAAGGUCACUGCAAAAAGCAAGCAGAUCAUUAUCAAGGAUGCAGAAGUAACCAACGGAACCAUCGCUCUGAAUGCCCCUCCUCUGCAUGAACACGAAAAAUCCCAUUGCUUGAAGAAGAUUAACCACAAUGCAUAAAACAGUGGGAUUUAUCCAGUCAAAGAAACUAAUUUAAAGAGUGCUUGGAAUGCCCCUCCUUCAUUGGAUGAACCAGCAGAUUUUCGUUGCAGUGCGGAAAACAAUGAGAUGUUUUCAGAUUUUGAACUCCAUUACUUGCUCUUAUUGCCUUCUCCAUAUUGCCCUUUUGUGUCUUCUUUGGAAGGCUGAUAUCUUUGUUUUGAAAUUGAAGAAUUCUCAAUUUAGUAGAAAUGAAUUUAUUGGACUCGAUGGAAAUAUUUCCCCCAUAUGGUCAAUAAAGGUUUGCAAUAAUACACCAAAUACAUGAGAGUAAAUUCUCGUAUAUUCUAUCAAUUUCCAUGUGUUGCUUUAGGGUCUACACAUGGACCCUUGAAACAGUAAAACAAUUACAUAAUCUUCAUUGACAUCAUUUCGAUGAAGCAAAUGAUAUAGUCUUCUUCAGUAUUCAAUCCAAGGAAUGUUCAGGUGUAAAUUUUGCAUAUAUGAAUGUUUUUAUAUCCCCAUGGUGACCUUAUCCUUCACCUUGUGGAUUCAUGAUAGUGAUAAAUAAAAAGUAAAAGUAUUUAGUUUUUGUAGAUCCAUGAGAUCAGUGAUAUCAUUCACGCAUACACUCAAAACAUGUAUAUAACUCACGGAUGCUAGUCAUGCGUUUGCAUAUAUUUCUUUAAGGUGCCGUGUGCUUAGUGGUGACUUCCCGGAACAAUGAUAUCAUUCAUGGAAUGGACAAUCCAUUGCAUGGAAAACAUCAGGAUACACAGGGUGCUGACAUUGAUAAAGUAGCUAACGCCCAAGAGAAGGAGCAUUAGGAAGAUUUUGCUUGAAUGCAUCAGCACUGCAUGGAUGUAUCAUUUACCUUCUCAUAUAUUCCAUUGUAGAUCUCUUCAUGAGUUACAACUGAAGAACUACCACAGUACCACUUAUCAGAUGGCUCACCUUUCAAAGGUUUUAUGAAUCUCAAGACAUUAAGGCUUGUUUCAAUUGGUGUCUCUGAUGUGAUCCUUGAUAUUAUCAUCUUCAACUGUGCAUUGUUAGUAUUUGAAUCUACAUCGAUGUAAAGGUGUAGAGACACUAAAUUUUUUUUACCAGAAUAUAAGGGUCUUGAAGAUUGAGUAUUUGCAAGUAAAGGAUAGAGAAAUUCAUGAUAUGGGUCUAAGAACAUUUGUUAUUGAUAGUUGAUACUACAUCAUGUGGCAAAGGCUUCAAAAUCAACAUCCUAAACCUUCACCAGCUUUGCAUUCGUCAUCAUGACUUUGAAUAUUGACUCAAUUGGAAUUGAAAUUAUUGAAAUUUUCUGCAAUUUCCAUGUAAGUUUUUCUAUUCUUUCCUUGCAUGUUUGAUAUACUCUAUCUAUUAUUGCCUGACUGAACUGUAUUGUCUGAAUGGUCUGACUCAGAAAUUACCUGAUCACAUAUGGAAGAAGGAGAAUGCUCAAAUAGUGGUGAUGAGGAUUAGAAAAUGCAGGAUAUGCUGUCAGUAUGAGUAUAUGACCCAUGGAAUUGAAUUUUACGAGCUCAUAAAAAAAUCUUCCAUGUUGAUUCUCUUCCUUAUCCUUAGCUCCACGAAAAUGCUUACGGCUAACAGCUGAAGAUAUGCAGGAUAACCAAGGGCAGGUUUGCUUGAAAUAUGCAUUAAUGAUGUCUUUAUACACUCAGCAGAAGCCCAAGGGAAGUAGAGGAAAAACAUGUUACAAGAGAAAAUGGAUUUUUGUUUCCAAAAUGGUGCAGUGCCCAAAUCAGUUUUUGAGGAAAUCUAGUUUUCAUUCGUGAUCCCGAGUGACAACUUUGAUGAGGAUGGCUUGCAUGAUGAUGAACAAGGCUUUCGUGCUCCAGCCUUCAGUUCAUGUCCAUAUGCAUAUGAGGAACGCAGAGAUUUUGGGGGAAUAUUUCUUCCUUGUUAGAGACGUGCAUCGCAAGAGAAGCACUCUGAAAGAAGGCAAGCGUGAUCAAAGCAGGAUAGAGAAACAGAAAAAAUCAAACAAAGCAUAGCAUGGUAGCAAGAAAAAAUAAUCUGGAACUAUUUGACUGGAUAAAAUCCAUUAUACAGAUCAAUAGUGAAGCAUAGCCUUGUUCUCUUCUUUAUUUCAUUUCAAUACUAGAGACAAAUCUCUACAGGUUGCUGGUGUCUCUAGUAGAUAGUCAUGGACAGAAGCGACGGAGAUAUAUAGCAGCCAUUAUGAAGAGUAGCGACCACAAACAAUGCUGGGAGCAAUGGUUUUAUCAUCUUAGCCUCAAUAUCAAGAAAGAAGAGGAGGAGAUAGUUUUGGUCAAGGCACAUGCAGAAAUGGGAAACAAGUGGGUUGAGAUCGCAAAGAUGAUCCAAGGAAGAGCUGUGAAUUCAAUCAAGAACCAUUGGAACUCAAACAAAGUAGGCAGCAAUUAGGGCAGGAUUGUCAAAAGGUUAGUGUGGACGGAGACGAUGGCCAUCCAAGUUUGGUGUUACAAGACUACAUCAGGAUUAUUUGUAAGGUCACUGAGAAAAACAAACAGAUCAUUAUCAAGGAUGCAGUAGAAAUCAACAGAAACAAGAUGCACUUUUCCAACUUGGAAUAUUGUUGUGCGGCUCUGCUCAAGGCAGUUUCUAUUCCUGACUGAAACAGGAUAAUGUUGGUGGAGGAUUUGGAGGGGCACUUUGUAUGACCAACGGGGGAUUACAGCACCCUCAUUAAAUCUUUAGGGAAAGUGGUCAAUAUUCUCUUGAACCAUGUCGUGAAGAAAAUCUCUUAUAGAACGAGAGACUCUAGAGAAGAUCGUGAAAAGUAGAGCAAAGUCAAAGUAUCCACCUCAAAUGGAAGUGAGUUUGUAGGAGAUGAAGUUUUGGUUACUGCACUUUUGGGGUGCUGAAUAGCAGAUAUUAUAAAAUUUUCUCCAGCCCUACCAGAUUGGAAAAAAUCUUCUAUCCACAGGCUUGGUUUUGGUGUUCUUAAUAAAGUGGUCUUAGAAUUUCCAGAAGUCUUUUUGGAUGAUACUGUUGAUUAUUUUGGAGCAACUGCCUGAGGAAACAGAUCGGAGGGGG